AUUGAACGCUGGCGGCAGGCCUAACACAUGCAAGUCGAGCGAGAGGCGGACGGGUGAGUAAUGUAUCGGCACCUGCCCGGUGGAGGGGGAUAACUACUGGAAGCGGUAGCUAAUACCGCCUCCUAUCGGAUGGGCCGAUAUGGGAUUAGCUAGUUGGUGGGGUAAAGGCUCACCAAGGCCACGAUCUCUAGCUGGUCUGAGAGGAUGAUCAGACACACUGGGACUGAGACACGGCCCAGACUCCUACGGGAGGCAGCAGUGGGGAAUAUUGGACAAUGGGCGAAAGCCUGAUGCAGCCAUGCCGCGUGUAUGAAGAAGGCCUUCGGGUUGUAAAGUACUUUAAGCAGGGAGGCGUUACCAGCAGAAGAAGCACCGGCUAACUCCGUGCCAGCAGCCGCGGUAAUAC
rnacentral:rRNA from 1 species